GACGAACGCUGGCGGCGUGCUUAACACAUGCAAGUCGAACGGAAAGGCCCUGCUUUUGUGGGGUGCUCGAGUGGCGAACGGGUGAGUAACACGUGAGUAACCUGCCCUUGACUUUGGGAUAACUUCAGGAAACUGGGGCUAAUACCGGAUAGGAGCUCCUGCUGCAUGGUGGGGGUUGGAAAGUUUCGGCGGUUGGGGAUGGAUUCGCGGCUUAUCAGCUUGUUGGUGGGGUAGUGGCUUACCAAGGCUUUGACGGGUAGCCGGCCUGAGAGGGUGACCGGGGUCAUUGGGCCUGAGAUACGGCCCAGACUCCUACGGGAGGCAGCAGUGGGGAGUAUUGCACAAUGGGCGGGAGCCUGAUGCAGCAACGCUGCGUGCGGGAUGACGGCCUUCGUGUUGUAAACCGCUUUCGCCUGUGACGAAGCGGGAGUGACGGUACUGGGUAAAGAAGCACCGGCUAACUACGUG
rnacentral:rRNA from 1 species